GGGCUGUGUGUGUAGAGGUGGGCUGUGUGUGUAGAGGUGGGCUGUGUGUAGAGGUGGGCUGUGUGUAGAGGUGGGCUGUGUGUAGAGGUGGGCUGUGUGUAUAGAGGUGUGCUGUGUGUAUAGAG